UGUAUUUCCAGCAUGCAGCCUUUUUCAAAACCCACACACCAAACAUUGUUCAAGGUGGGAGAGGAACUGUAUCAUCUAUAAGAAAAGGUCUGUGGAGUUGUGGAUGACCUGAGACUGGACUUGGAGAGUG
rnacentral:lncRNA from 1 species